rnacentral:lncRNA from 1 species
GAAUUGGAAUCUUCAAGCUCUACCUAUUGUCGUUUAUGAAAGGCCAGUCAUCAAUGCCAAGGGCACCCUGAAGCAAAGCAUUGGUGUCCUCUGGACCCUCGGGGGUCUCUUGGCCCACCACUGUGAGUAGUCUCUGCCCUCUUUCCCAGCUGUCUCUCCUCUCUCACGCCCCUAACAGGGACUCCCACUGUAGAAAGUGCCAGAGCACAAAAUAAUGGCAUUUUCAA